CCUACGGGAGGCAGCAGUGAGGAAUAUUGGUCAAUGGGCGGAAGCCUGAACCAGCCAAGUAGCGUGCAGGAUGACGGCCCUAUGGGUUGUAAACUGCUUUUAUCCGGGAGUAACGCGCCUUACGUGUAGGGCUUUGCGUGUACCCUGUGAAUAAGGACCGGCUAAUUCCGUGCCAGCAGCCGCGGUAAUACGGAAGAUCCGGGCGUUAUCCGGAUUUAUUGGGUUUAAAGGGUGCGUAGGCGGACGGUUAAGUCAGCGGUAAAAAUGCGGUGCUCAACGCCGUAGAGCCGUUGAAACUGGUAGCCUUGAGUGGGUGAGAAGUACGCGGAAUGCGUGGUGUAGCGGUGAAAUGCAUAGAUAUCACGCAGAACUCCGAUUGCGAAGGCAGCAUACCGGCGCCCUACUGACGCUGAGGCACGAAAGCGUGGGUAUCGAACAGGAUUAGAUACCCUGGUAGUC
rnacentral:rRNA from 1 species